UCACUUCCCCAGCUAGCUGUUUUCCCGGAAGUUUCUUGGCUACUUGUCACCUUCAUCUACUUUACAGUUCUUUCCUUUCUGGCUUUAUAGCCAUACACAAUAAUGCAUAGCAAUAAUUAAGCCCUGCAACAUCCCUGUCACCUAAGGAAGUUGAUCACACUCAGGGCAGGGUUUCCCGGACUUGGUGAUUAUAUGUUUAAGAUCAAGGCUGCCAGUGAGAGUUGGCACAAAAAGGAAGAAGAAUUACAGGGCUAGGAGCUGACUAAUAUACUGGGAUGUUCCUACACCCUUAUGAUCCUGGUCUGGUCUGAAAGCCGGGAAGUGUAAAGGAGCCUUUGAAAACCACAAAUUCAAGUUUCCAGAAAGAGACACUGCAUGUUGGCUGAGAAAAGCUAAUUUAAAUAUUGUUCCUACUCCAGCUAACUUGGAUUUCAUUAACUCUCAGGCAGUAAAACAUCACCAUUGUAAAAGUCUAAGAGGCUCUACUUGAGACUGAGAACAAUGACAAUGGUCAGAUACAUACGCUACCUCAGCACACGCAGGUGAAGGAGGCCUGGAAGGAGAGCGAGGCCUUGCAGGAGGAGAGCCAUGAGAAGGAGACUCAGGAGAAGGAAGACCCCAUUACCGUGACACUAGUGUGAUGUUCUGAAGUGGUCAGUCACAUCUGCUCUUCCAGUUCCUGCAGUGUAUGGGUGAGCUGCCGCCCCAUCGCAGAACAAAACAGAUGUAAAACCUGGACAACUUGUCAAAAUCCAAGAGAAACCACCCUUUCCCUUCAAUAGAAGCUGGUGACCGAUAAAUCAGAUGACUGCAAUUCUUGCUGUGACUUUUGCUUUUGUCUGCAAACUUUCUCCCUCAGUUUCCUUAUUAAGAGGAUUUCGUUUUCCAGGGUUAAGAUUAGUCUAAGGACAAUACGAUUAUGCAUUUGUCAUAAUUGGUGCAGCUACAAAACAUGGCUUGAUAAUAAAUAGAUGCUACUGAAUGUGCUGGAAAACCAUCAAUAAACAACAAUAGGAUUC